rnacentral:lncRNA from 1 species
AACCCAGUUAUGCUGUUAGAGGCUCCCCUUUGGAGAAGCAUGAAGUUCAUGUGAUGAGGAGUUCUUUCUACAGCACAGGGCCUGCUUGCAAGGAUUCUCUCUCUGCCCCUCCCCUGCUUUGUGUGUGCGCUUACUCUCAAAGUAAAUAAACAUUAAAAAAAAAUAAUAUAUAGCAUUACUUAGUGUGUAUUAAAACUAUGUAACAAGUGCAUGUUUCUCAUUUAAAAAAAAUAAAUGAGUGUGUUCCAUUUUUUAAAAAAUAUUUAUUUUUAAGUAAGCUUUAUGGCCAUCAUGGGGCAUGCUCCUGAGAUCAAGAGUCACAUGCCCUUCCAGCUGAGCCAACCAGGCACCCCUUUCCUCAUCAUUUUUUUGGAUAUCAUCCAUGUUAAUAUACAAAGAUAUUGUUCAUUUUGGUUGUUUAUAUUUUGUAUGAAUAUUCCACAGUUACUUCAUCCAUUACCUCAUUCAAAGAUACUUAGAUUGUUGCAAAUUUUUUGCUGAUUGUGCUGCCUUAAACAGCCCUGUACAUGUUUCCUUGUGCACAUGGGUGAGUUCUUUAGGGUAUCCUAAAAGUAAAUUGCUGGGUUGAAGAGUACAUAUAACUUCAGUGUUGGUAGAUUUAGACAGAUUUAUCUUUAAAAAAAAAUUUUUUUUUAAUGUUUGUUUAUUUUUGAGAGACAGAGCACGAGUGGGGAAGGAGCAGAGAGAGAGAGAGAGGGAGACACAGAAUCUGAAGCAGGUUCGGGGCUCAGCUGUCAGCACAGAGCCCGACAUGGGGCUCGAAUCGCGAGAUCGUGAAUCGCGAGAUCAUGACCCGAGCGGAAGUCGGUGCUUAACCGACGGAACCACUCAGGCGCCCCUAGACAGAUUUAUCUUUAAAGAGGGUGUACCAAUUUGUACGCAAACCAAUUGUGUAUUAGAAUUCUUGUUCACUGCCAAGUGUUGGUUAGGGACUGUUCCAUCCCUCCAGCUGGAAAAAGAUCUAUGCAGAUUUGACCCCUGUGGAAGAGACAGGGAAGAAAAGAAAGGUGGGUAG